CGGUGACGGGUAGCCGGCCUGAGAGGGCGACCGGCCACACUGGGACUGAGACACGGCCCAGACUCCUACGGGAGGCAGCAGUGGGGAAUAUUGCGCAAUGGGCGGAAGCCUGACGCAGCGACGCCGCGUGGGGGAUGACGGCCUUCGGGUUGUAAACCUCUUUCGCCAGGGACGAAGAGUGAUUGACGGUACCUGGAGAAGAAGCACCGGCCAACUACGUGCCAGCAGCCGCGGUAACACGUAGGGUGCGAGCGUUGUCCGGAAUUAUUGGGCGUAAAGAGCUCGUAGGCGGUGUGUCGCGUCGGCCGUGAAAACUUGGGGCUUAACUCUGAGCGUGCGGUCGAUACGGGCAUCACUUGAGUUCGGCAGGGGAGACUGGAAUUCCUGGUGUAGCGGUGAAAUGCGCAGAUAUCAGGAGGAACACCGGUGGCGAAGGCGGGUCUCUGGGCCGAUACUGACGCUGAGGAGCGAAAGCGUGGGGAGCGAACAGGAUUAGAUACCCUGGUAGUCCACGCCGUAAACGUUGGGCGCUAGGUGUGGGGACCAUUCCACG
rnacentral:rRNA from 1 species